UACGUAGGGUGCGAGCGUUAAUCGGAAUUACUGGGCGUAAAGCGUGCGCAGGCGGUUUUGUAAGCCAGAUGUGAAAUCCCCGGGCUCAACCUGGGAAUGGCAUUUGGGACUGCAAGGCUUGAGUGCGGCAGAGGAGACUGGAAUUCCUGGUGUAGCAGUGAAAUGCGUAGAUAUCGUAAGGAAGACCAGUGGCGAAGGCGGGUCUCUGGACAGUUCCUGACGCUGAGGCACGAAGGUCAGGGGAGCAAACGGG
rnacentral:rRNA from 1 species